rnacentral:rRNA from 1 species
AAGGAAUAUUGGGCAAUGGACGCAAGUCUGACCCAGCCAUGCCGCGUGAAGGAUGAAGCAUUUAGGUGCGUAAACUUCUUUUGUACGGGAAUAAAGUGGGCUACGUGUAGCCUUUUGUAUGUACCGUACGAAUAAGGAUCGGCUAACUCCGUGCCAGCAGCCGCGGUAAUACGGAGGAUCCGAGCGUUAUCCGGAUUUAUUGGGUUUAAAGGGUGCGUAGGUGGAUUGAUAAGUCAGUAGUGAAAGUUUGCAGCUUAACUGUAAAAUUGCCGUUGAAACUGUCGGUCUUGAGUGCAAAUGAGGUAGGCGGAAUGCGUCGUGUAGCGGUGAAAUGCUUAGAUAUGACGCAGAACUCCGAUUGCGAAGGCAGCUUACUGGGAUGCAACUGACACUGAGGCACGAAAGCGUGGGUAUCAAAC